UGUGUACUCCCUCCGUUCCAAAAUACUUGACUUCCAUUUGUCCAAAAAUGGAUGUACCUAUAUACUAAAACAUGUCUAGAUAUAUCUAUAUUUUAAAAAGUAGAAGGCAUGUAUUGUGGAACGGAGGGAGUAGAAU
rnacentral:pre_miRNA from 1 species